UACGUAGGGAGCAGGCGUUGUUCGGAUUUACUGGGCGUAAAGGGCGCGUAGGCGGCGCGGUAAGUCACUUGUGAAAUCUCUGAGCUUAACUCAGAACGGCCAAGUGAUACUGCAGUGCUAGAGUGCAGAAGGGGCAAUCGGAAUUCUUGGUGUAGCGGUGAAAUGCGUAGAUAUCAAGAGGAACACCUGAGGUGAAGACGGGUUGCUGGGCUGACACUGACGCUGAGGCGCGAAAGCCAGGGGAGCAAACGGG
rnacentral:rRNA from 1 species